rnacentral:rRNA from 1 species
GACGAACGCUGGCGGCGUGCUUAACACAUGCAAGUCGAACGGUGAAGCGCCUUCCUUUUUGGUGGGUGUGGAUGAGUGGCGAACGGGUGAGUAACACGUGAGUAACCUGCCCCCUUCUUCUGGAUAACCGCAUGAAAGUGUGGCUAAUACGGGAUAUUCUGGGUCUGUCGCAUGAUGGGUCUGGGAAAGAUAUUGUUUCGGUGGGGGAUGGGCUCGCGGCCUAUCAGCUUGUUGGUGGGGUGAUGGCCUACCAAGGCGGUGACGGGUAGCCGGCCUGAGAGGGUAGACGGUCACACUGGGACUGAGACACGGCCCGGACUGCUACGGGAGGCAGAAGUGGGGAAUAUUGCACAGUGGGCGCAAGCCUGAUGCAGCGACGCCGCGUGAGGGAUGGAGGCCUUCGGGUUGUGAACCUCUUUCGCCAGUGAAGCAGGCCUGCCUCGUUUGUGGGUGGGUUGACGGUAGCCGGAUAAGAAGCGCCGGCUAACUACGUG